rfam:Candidatus Nealsonbacteria bacterium RBG_13_42_11 RBG_13_scaffold_218, whole genome shotgun sequence.
UGCAGCAUAAUGAAACUGACGCUGCGUCAGAAGUCAGCUGAAUCAUAGUAUCCCGCUUUUAGCGGGAGAAGGAU